GCUGGCUGCAAAGAAGCUGACAAGGCCCGAGGACUUCUGGAAGCAUAAUUUGGUGACUAUCCCUGUAACGGGUAUUGAAUGUAAUCCCUGCUCCAGGAGAGUUUCAUGGGAUGGCAUCACGGUGAAAGCACACGUAGAAGUGACAGCUCAUGUUGUGAAGUAAGCCUGGCUAGGGCUUUUACAAUCUUUCUUCUGAGAAUUAACCCCAGCCCUGUGAAAGCUACUUCUGUUCCAUCUCUGUGAUGAGAAGAACUGCUACAAGGUGCCAGCUCUGAAAAUUCUUGCCUGCUCUCCACGUUGCACCACAGAGAAUCAGCCUCCUACACAGAAAUCCUCCGGCUGCAAACCACACUGAAGAUGCAACCGUCCCGGGCUCCACGAUGCCAUUUCUGCACACCUCGAGGUAAUCUACAUCUAACUGCUGAUGGAAGGAAGGAAACAGCAAACAGGGUGUUACCAGCUACGGGGGAAAAAGGAAUCUGAUGAAUGAGCACCUGCCACUCAUUCCUCCAUCUUGGAAAUAAAUAAACAGCUUCUUGUAACUGA